rnacentral:rRNA from 1 species
CAGCAGCCGCGGGAAUACGUAGGUGGCAAGCGUUGUCCGGAAUUAUUGGGCGUAAAGGGCUCGCAGGCGGUUUCUUAAGUCUGAUGUGAAAGCCCCCGGCUCAACCGGGGAGGGUCAUUGGAAACUGGGAAACUUGAGUGCAGAAGAGGAGAGUGGAAUUCCACGUGUAGCGGUGAAAUGCGUAGAGAUGUGGAGGAACAUCAGUGGCGAAGGCGACUCUCUGGUCUGUAACUGACGCUGAGGAGCGAAAGCGUGGGGAGCGAACAGGAUUAGAUACCCGUGUAGUCCCUGUCUCUUAUAC